UUUUUAAUAUCUAAUAAUUGCCUCCAGGUUGUACCUAUACGAACCUUGAUCAGAACUGCCCCGGGUAUGCCGCGGCGGGCUACUGCACUCGUACAGACUUAGCGAACUGGAUGAACACCAACUGCAAGAGGUCCUGCCAGUGUAAUGUUUGUGAAAAUAAUAACGCCAGUUGUGCAAGUUACGCCAGUGCCGGAUACUGUUCGAGCUACCGGGACUGGAUGUCCGCCUAUUGCCGCAAGAGCUGCAAUCUGUGCUAACAACACCUAGCAACCAUCCCUAGCAAUUACCACUCGACUAUGGAAAGCUCACCCUUAGAACAACACACCCUUGGAAACAUGAUCCUUCACAACAACUACUAGGUCUUAAAAGCUGGUUCCUUGAUCGUGGAUAAUUAAUCCCUAGCAACAACAUGAUUCUUAGACGUGUCCCAGCACGCUCGAGCUUGGAAAGCUGAUCCCUAGCAACUACUUAAACCUGGGUACAUCAUCCCUAGCAACCACUAGUCGAACAUGGGCAAAUGAUCCCUGGAAGCAAGUUGAUCGUGGGAAAAUAAUUCCUAAUAACUACCUUUUCUCGGGUGCAUAAUCCCUAGCAACCACU